rnacentral:misc_RNA from 1 species
AGCAGCCGCGGUAAUUCCAGCUCCAAUAGCGUAUAUUAAAGUUGUUGCAGUUAAAAGCUCGUAGUUGAAUUUCGGGAUCAAAGGAUCGGUCAUGCCUUGGUAUGUACUGGUUUUAUUGGUUCUCACCUUCUAAAGAACCAUAAUGUCAUUCAUUUGAUGUUAUGGGGAAUUAGGACUGUUACCUUGAAAAAUUAGAGUGUUUAAAGCAGGCUUACGCUUGAAUACAUUAGCAUGGAAUAAUGAAAUAGGACAUCAGAUUCUAUUUUGUUGGUUUCUAGGAUCGAUGUAAUGAUUAAUAGGGAUAGUUGGGGGCAUUAGUAUUCAAUUGUCAGAGGUGAAAUUCUUGGAUUUAUUGAAGACUAACUACUGCGAAAGCAUUUGCCAAGGAUGUUUUCAUUAAUCAAGAACGAAAGUUAGGGGAUCGAAGACGAUCAGAUACCGUCGUAGUCUUAACCAUAAACUAUGCCGACUAGGGAUCGGAUGAUGUUAAUUUUAUAAUGACUCGUUC